rnacentral:rRNA from 1 species
UACGGGGGGAGCAAGCGUUGUUCGGAUUUACUAGGCGUAAAGGGCGCGUAGGCGGCCACCGCAAGUCGACUGUGAAAUCUCCGGGCUUAACCCGGAAAGGUCAGCCGAUACUGCGGGGCUAGAGUGCAGAAGGGGCAACUGGAAUUCUCGGUGUAGCGGUGAAAUGCGUAGAUAUCGAGAGGAGCACCUGCGGCGAAGGCGGGUUGCUGGGCUGACACUGACGCUGAUGUGCGAAAGCUAGGGGAGCGAACGGG